UGUGCCAGCAGCCGCGGUAAGCCAAUCCCAGAAACCCUAUCUCAGUCCGGAUUGGAGUCUGCAACUCGACUCCAUGAAGUCGGAAUCGCUAGUAAUCGCAGAUCAGCAUUGCUGCGGUGAAUACGUUCCCGGGCCUUGUACACACCGCCCGUCACACCAUGGGAGUUUGUUGCACCAGAAGCAGGUAGCUUAACCUUCGGGAGGGCGCUUGCCACGGUGUGGCCGAUGACUGGGGUGAAGUCGUAACAAGGUAACC
rnacentral:rRNA from 1 species